AUUGUUUUGAACGAGAUCUAGUAAGUAGUUUUUUUUAAUACGUCAUAAAUCAACUGAACUUUUUUUUAUCAAACCCAUACGUGUGGGGUAUCUAUGGAUAGGUCUUGAAAAAUGAUAUUGAGGUUUCUAAUAUCAUUUUUUUCUAAACUGAAUAGUUUGCGCGAGAGACACUUCCAAAGUGGUAAAAUGUGUUUCCCCCCAACCCCCUUUGUAACUUCUAAAAUAAGAGAAUGAUAAAACUAAAAAAAAUAUAUGAUGUACAUUACCAUGCAAACUUCCACCGAAAAUUUGUUUGAACGAGACCUAGUAAGUAGUUUUUUUUUAAUACGUCAUAAAUCAAAUGAAACUCUUUUUUUUUGAUCAAACCCAUACGAGUGAUUUAU